AGCCAUAUCAUGUUGAAACACAGGUUCCAGAUGAUCACUGAAGUUAAGCAAUGUUGAGCCUGGUCACUACCUAGAUGGUUGACUGCUUGGGAAUACCAGGUGGUGUAAG